rnacentral:rRNA from 1 species
UACGUAGGUGACAAGCGUUAUCCGGAAUUAUUGGGCGUAAAGCGCGUGUAGGCGGCUUUGCAAGUCGGGUGUGAAAGCCCUCAGCUCAACUGAGGAAGUGCGCCCGAAACUGCAGAGCUUGAGUGCCGGAGAGGGUGGCGGAAUUCCCCAAGUAGAGGUGAAAUUCGUAGAUAUGGGGAGGAACACCGGUGGCGAAGGCAAUCCCCUGGGCUAGCACUGACGCUCAGGCACGAAAGCGUGGGGAGCAAACAGG